rnacentral:lncRNA from 1 species
AGCAUGGGGCCUGAUAAAUAGUAAGCCCUUGGUAAUAAUUAUAUCUUCUGUGCUGCUAGACACAGAGGGAUUGAAAUGCAUAACAAUAGAGAUGAAACAUGAAGAGUGAUAAAUGAAGAUUGAGUGUGCACACCUUCUGGAGGAGCCCUGAUUGAGUAUUUUAAAAUACUACUAAAGUCAUGCCGUGUGACUUCUGAAGCUAGCUCCUAAGAAGUCCUUGCAGCUUCUGCCUGCGACUCUUAGAACACUUGCUUUGAAGGAUGCCAGACGCUGUGUUAAAAGUCUGAGCACUCUGAAACCACCAUGCUGUGAGGAAGCCCAAGCUAACCACAUGGGCAAAAAAGAUGCCCUCUGACUGCCACCAUUUGAGACACUCUAAUUAAGAACUGCCUCAUUGAGCCCAUGAGGCCCUGUGAAUGAUAGUAAUAAAUUGUUUUUAACCA